rnacentral:rRNA from 1 species
UUGAACGCUGGCGGAAUGCUUUACACAUGCAAGUCGAACGGCAGCACGGGGGCAACCCUGGUGGCGAGUGGCGAACGGGUGAGUAACACAUCGGAACGCGUCCUGUAAUGGGGGAUAACCUGGCGAAAGCCAGGCUAAUACCGCAUACGUCCUGAGGGAGAAAGCGGGGGACCGUAAGGCCUCGCGCGAUUGGAGCGGCCGAUGUCGGAUUAGCUAGUUGGUGGGGUAAAGGCCUACCAAGGCGACGAUCCGUAGCGGGUCUGAGAGGAUGAUCCGCCACACUGGGACUGAGACACGGCCCAGACUCCUACGGGAGGCAGCAGUGGGGAAUUUUGGACAAUGGGGGCAACCCUGAUCCAGCCAUGCCGCGUGAGUGAAGAAGGCCUUCGGGUUGUAAAGCUCUUUCAGACGGAAAGAAAACGCAUCGGUGAAUACCCGGUGUGGAUGACGGUACCGUAAGAAGAAGCACCGGCUAACUACGU